rnacentral:rRNA from 1 species
GUUGAAGAUACAUCUAGCGGCGGACGGGUGAGUAACACGUGAGCAACCUGCCUUAAAGAGGGGGAGUAACGUUGGGAAACCAACGCUAAUACCGCAUAAGAUAUUAGUGCCGCAUGGCACAGAUAUAAAAGGAGCAAUCCGCUUUAAGAUGGGCUCGCGCCCGAUUAGGUAGUUGGUGAGGUAAAGGCCCACCAAGCCUGCGAUCGGUAGUCGGACUGAGAGGUUGAUCGGCCACAUUGGGAUUGAGACACGGCCCAGACUCCUACGGGGAGGCAGCAGUGGGGGAUAUUGCACAAUGGAGGAAACUCCUGAUGCAGCGACGCCGCGUGAGGGAAGAAGGUCUUCGGAUUGUAAACCUCUGUCGUUGGGGAAGAUAAAUGACGGUACCCAAGGAGGAAGCCACGGCUAACUACGUGCCAGCCGCUGC